UACUUGGAUGGGUGUCCGCCUGGGAACA
rnacentral:sRNA from 1 species